rnacentral:RNase_P_RNA from 1 species
GGAGCGGCCUGGGUGAACGCCGGUCGUUGCAGGAAUGGACGACGGGAGGAAAGUCCGAGCUCCACAGGGCAGGGUGCUGGUUAACGACCAGUCGGAGUGAUCCGCAGGAAAGUGCCACAGAAAAUAAACCGCCUCCCGCGAGGGAGGUAAGGGUGAAACGGUGCGGUAAGAGCGCACCGCGGUCAGGGUGACUUGACCGGCACGGCAAACCCCACCUGGAGCAAGAGCCAAUAGGGAAGCGUCCCCUCGCGGGGACAAGGAUGGCCCGUCCGAAGCUUCCGGGUUGCUCGCUGAUGAGGCCCCUGGGCAACCAGGGCCCUAGACGAAUGUUCGCCGCCCGAUCGAAAGGUCGGGGACAAAACUCGGCUUACAGGGCCGCUCCGGCG